CUACGGAGGGUCCAAGCGUUAUCCGGAUUCAUUGGGUUUAAAGGGUCCGCAGGCGGGAAAAUAAGUCAGUGGUGAAAGCCUACAGCUCGACUGUAGAACUGCCAUUGAUACUGUUUUUCUUGAGUAUAGAUGAAGUGGGCGGAAUAUAUCAUGUAGCGGUGAAAUGCAUAGAUAUGAUAUAGAACACCGAUUGCGAAGGCAGCUCACUAAACUAUUACUGACGCUCAGGGACGAAAGCGUGGGGAGCGAACAGGAUUAGAAACCCUGGUAGUCC
rnacentral:rRNA from 1 species